GUUGAGGGUUCCUGUGGCCUCAUAAGGAGUAAGGGAACAGGCCAGACUAUCAGUGUCUGCCCCCAGCAAGACAACCUCUAGGCAGAUUAGGCUGACGCACAGGAGCCAAGGUGUCACCUCUGAGCCUUCCCAAGAGUUCUUCUCUCCUAAGCUAGAUGAGGAGAAGUAAAGCUUUCCAACACAGAUAAACGGGUAUAAGAAAAACUGCAUCAAACUAAAGAUGACAGUUAGUACCUUGG